rnacentral:rRNA from 1 species
GACGAACGCUGGCGGCGUGGAUUAGGCAUGCAAGUCGAACGGUAUCAUCCUUUCGGGGAUGAGAGAGUGGCGAACGGGUGAGUAACACGUAGGUGAUCUACCCUCAAGACGGGGACAACCCAGGGAAACUUGGGCUAAUACCGGAUGUGAGCUAUCGUGAGAUAGUUUGAAAGGUGGCUUCGGCUGCCGCUUGAGGAUGAGCCUGCGUCCUAUUAGCUAGUUGGUGAGGUAACGGCUCACCGAGGCAGUGAUAGGUAGGCGGCCUUAACGGGUGGUCGCCCACACUGGGAUUGAGAUACGGCCCAGACUCCUACGGGAGGCAGCAGUCGAGAAUAGUCUACAAUGGUCGAAAGACUGAUAGUGCGACGCCGCGUGAACGAAGAAGCCCUUCGGGUGUAAAGUUCUUUUAUAUGUGAGCAGUGACACCCAUAUUAAUAGUAUGGGUGUAGAGAUAUUAGCAUAUGAAUAAGCAACGGCUAACUCCGUGCC